rnacentral:lncRNA from 1 species
UCUGCAGCAGCUGGGCUCUGAACAGACACAAGCGAUCUCUCGGCCUGCUCUCGCCUGUAUCCCCCCCUGCUCCCCUGUGUGUUUCUGUCCGCUGGGCUGUCUCACCUCCACCGCGACCACAGCAGCACAGACUCCCAGGAUCAGCGUGAGGUUCUGCUUCAGCCAAUUUGUAAUGCCCAGCUUACAGCCCUGGAAAGAGAGAGUAUACCGACUGUAAUGUAGACGCUCAUCUUCUCCUUAUCCUUAUCUUCAUUCCACAUUCUCAUCGUCAUCCUCCUCCUCACUUUCAUUCUGAUCCUCAUCCUCAUUCUCACAGAAAUCUUCGUCCUCCUCCUCCUCUUCCUCAUUCUUAUCCUCAUUCUCAGCAUCAUUCUCAAUCUCAUCUUCAUCUUAGUUCUCGUCCUCACCCUCAUCCUCUUUCUCAUCAGCCUCAUCUUCAUUCUCAUCCUUGCCCUCAUCCUCAGUCUCAUCCUUUCUUUUCAUCCUCAUCUUCAUCCUCAAUCGCAUCUUCUUAUCCCAAUCCUCACCCUCAUCAUCCUCAUCUUCAUCCUCAAUCUCAUCCUCUUUCUUAUCCCAAUCCUCACCCUCAUCNNNNNNNNNNNNNNNNNNNNNNNNNNNNNNNNNNNNNNNNNNNNNNNNNNNNNNNNNNNNNNNNNNNNNNNNNNNNNNNNNNNNNNNNNNNNNNNNNNNNCGGCCGCGGGGGUCUCGGACGACAGCUUCCUGAGGGAUCUGGACCAGCCCACCGAGGGCUCUGAGUCCCUAUUGGUGGACGCUGCCGGAGACUCAGAGUAAGGGGGCGGAGCUGGGGUGCUCCAGGUGUAAAAGUGGGCGGCGACUGAGGCUGAGCUGUACAGGCAGGACCAGGAGCCCUCAACCUGCAGCUCAGUGUGGCUUCCUGUCCAGUUUCAUACAUCAGCUGGGUCCUGACUGUGUUAUAAAUCAGACUGGGACAGCUGGGUCUGUCCUGUGUUAUAAAUCAGACUGGGACAGCUGGGUCUGUCCUGUGUUAUAAAUCAGACUGGGACAGCUGAGCUCUGACUGUGUUAUAAAUCAGACUGGGACAGCUGAGCUCUGACUGUGUUAUAAAUCAGACUGGGACAGCUGGGUCUGACUGUGUUAUAACUCAGACUGGGACAGCUGAGCUCUGACUGUGUAAUAACUCAGACUGGGACAGCUGAGCUCUGACUGUGUUAUAACUCAGACUGGGACAGCUGAGCUCCCCUGAUGGGAGAGGACAGGCAGAGCUGUAGGCUGAGCAGUCUCAGGCUUGCAUGCUGUCUUCCUCUUACUGGAGAAGGGCGCAGAACCGUUUUAGUUCGUAAUCCAGCUGUGGUAGCGGAUUUGAACACAGAAGUCCUAACAGCAGGGUAAAAAGUGAAGAGUAAUCCGACCCACAAUGCAGGAAGGGCAUAGAAAACAGUGAGAAACUGGGAGCCCUCCAGGACUCCAAUUCCCAUCAUGCUGCUCUUCACCCUCGGAGAUGGGCAUGCUGGGAAGUGUAGUUUUACAUGUUUUACAGAGCUGGGACGAACAUGACAGGUCACCUGAGGGAGAGGAGUUAUGCCAAAGAAUUAUAAACAGACGCAGUAGUUAGACCGACAGCAGCUGUUCAGAUCCACAGGAGCGUACAGGGGGUAGGAGUUUGUACCUGUGCUGAGGUAUAUUUACAAUGAGAUUGACAAAUAUAGAUAGGUCACAGUGUUUAUCGCGCUUUGACUGUUGCUGAUUCUUUCUGACACCCCCUUCCAGGGUGAGUUGGUAUCGUCCUGCACAGAAGGGUGGUGGCGAAGAGCAGACGGACAGUUCCAUGUCUUUCCCAGUAGAGGGGGGGUAGGGAGGAGUAGGUUACUGUGUGAAGCCCCUGUGGGUGGAGCAGGUCAGAAACACAUGACCAGACACAGCCGGGUCGCCAAGACAGCCCCAAGGGCACUGGGACCCCCAGUUCCUCACUGUACAGACACCCCAACACCCCUGUGACCCUCUCUGUGGGUCUGACAGCCCCAGGGGCACUGGGACCCCAGUUUCUCACUGUACAGACACCCCAACACCUCUGUGACAGUCUCUGUGGGUCUGACAGCCCCAGGGGCACUGGGACCCCCAGUUUCUCACUGUACAGACACCCCAACACC